rnacentral:rRNA from 1 species
CUUGGUCAUUUAGAGGAAGUAAAAGUCGUAACAAGGUUUCCGUAGGUGAACCUGCGGAAGGAUCAUUAUUGAAAUGAACCUGAUGGGUUGUUUCUGGUUCUCUAGGGAGCAUGUGCACACCUUGUCAUCUUUAUAUCUCCACCUGUGCACUUUUUGUAGACCUUUCAGGUCUAUGUUGCUUCAUUUACCCCAAUGUAUGUUAAUAGGAUGUUGUGCCUAUAUAAUAUAUACAACUUUCAGCAACGGAUCUCUUGGCUCUCGCAUCGAUGAAGAACGCAGCGAAAUGCGAUAAGUAAUGUGAAUUGCAGAAUUCAGUGAAUCAUCGAAUCUUUGAACGCACCUUGCGCUCCUUGGUAUUCCGAGGAGCAUGCCUGUUUGAGUGUCAUUAAUAUAUCAACCUUCUCUUUUUUGAGUUGUUUGGAUGUGGGGGUUUGCUGGCCUCUUAAAUGAUUCAGCUCCCCUGAAAUGCAUUAGCAGAACAACCUGUUCAUUGGCGUGAUAAUUAUCUAUGCUAUUGAAUGUGAGGGCAGUUCAGCUUUCUAACCGUCCUCGGACAAUUCAUCAUUAAUGUGACCUCAAAUCAGGUAGGACUACCCGCUGAACUUAAGCAUAUCAAUAAGCGGAGGA